GAACAGAAGUACAGCCCAUGCCUUGUGGACCAAAACCAACUCUCCACCAGACCUUCAUUGAAGCCAGUCUUGAGGACGCCUCCUAGCAUUGUGGAGAGGAACUGCAGUCCAUGCUGAGGGAACAUGAGGAUGGCAUAGGAGGAGUCAUUUGUGGAUGCCACCACCAACUGGAAGGUGUUCCUCUGAAGGUGAAGCAGAAAGAGUCAAACAUUCCAGAAGUUGAAAAUAAUAGUUUCAGAAAAGUGCAGAAAGAGAAGAGAUCUUUACGUCAGUGUCCAGCUCAUCGCCUCACCCACUGCUCUCUGCAGCAGCUAUAUUAUCCCAGGACCUCCGGACUGCUGUCCUGCCUGAUGUAGACUGACCCCCGGCCAUCGCUGUUGUCCAGGUCUCCCAGCAAGACAGCAGUUGAAAGUGGCCGGCAUUUUCCUGAGGUACUCGUGCUCCGGUGGUGGCUCUGUAAACGCCACAAAUCCGUUGGUGUUGAUCUGGAACAGAACAGAAAAACAGAAUCUGAGAAUAUUCCUCAGAGGAACGUUCCUACUUUCAAAUUAGUUAAAUCAAAUAAACUUUUGAGAAUGUUUGUCAUGACGACGGCAGUAAUGGACAACAGGAAGUGCUGAUAGCAUUGUGUUUUGGCGGCAGAGUGACAAGAACACCUGAGUGUGUAUAGGUGAUAUUUAACAUCAACAGGCUGUUGUCAACAUACAUAAUCACAUGUGUAACAGUGCCGUCAUGAUAUCACACGUCUGGCCUCGGAGAUCACUGUGAUAACUGCACGCCAAGUGCCGCCGUCUGCUUCAGAGGUGCACAUUUCCAACAAAAAAUUCCUCAACUAUCAAAUUAUGAAAUUCAAUCUGUUAUAUUGUCACCACAAUCCAAAAGAUUAACAAUAUUGAUCUGCUCAUUGAUCCAGGUGAUCAGUCUGACCAUUGACCCCACAAGUAGACUGACAGAAGACAACUGAAACAGAACAGGUCCUAAUCUGCAGUGUUCCUCAAUCCAGAUUAAUGGUCACAUGACCUGAGUGUGUCUGUGUGCGUGUUCUGUCCAUAUGUCCCACAGAUGUCAGCAUGUGAUUGACAGAAUAUAAUGGACAGAUUGAUAGUGAUCCCCAGUGAUCAGUUGCCUCUGAUGGAGUGUAAAUCAAUAGAUUUUGUUCACACUGACAGAUUGUCUGUGAUUAUCUGUCUCCAAACAAAUGCUGAUAAGAAACUUCACUCAAAUUAGUCAGUUUGUACUUGUCUGUGUAAAUUCUCAAUCAGCCAGGUCAUAGUUAUCAAAGGUAGUUUUCCGUGUCAACUGGACUAUUUUUCUUCUCUUUUGAAGAUGUUUUGCCUUCUACUCAGAAGGCUUCUUCAGUUCCGAAGGCGAAACGUCUUCAAAAGAGAAGAAAAACAGUCCAGUUGACACAGAAAACUAUACCUUGGAUCAGUUUGUACUUCAAGAAAUAAUGACUGAAAAAAACAAAUAAAUCGUAUUACCUUAAGAACAAAGAAAAUCUCAAAAAUGCUGUUAUAAAUUAAUGAAUUCUGUUUUACUUUAAUACUGAAUAAGAGAAAAUCAGAAAUGAAAGUUUUCUGACUAAAAAAUUAAAAAAAUCAAUUAAAAAAUGUACAUUUACAAGAAUAUCCCUCAUAUUAUUGAUGAAUUCAUCAUUUUGCAUUUUCUGAUGAUUGUGUUUCGUGAAGUUUUAAAAGUUAUUUGCUUUAGUUCUGAUGUUAAUCUCAAAGAUGAACAAAGCUGAUGAAUUCUUCACAUUUUACAAAAUGAUGGUUCUGUUCUUCCUCAAAAAGCCAUUAAAUAACUGAAAUGUCUGUAAAAGUUUCUGUGAAAAUGUUUAUUCACAUUUUAACUAAUGUAGAGUAUAAAACUCAUAAACUUUGUCAAAUUCUCCGCCAAAGAAAAACACGGAGGUCUAAAGGUGC
ensembl:lncRNA